GAUGAACGCUGGCGGCGUGCUUAACACAUGCAAGUCGAACGGAGAUAUCAUUUUCGAAGCGAUUAGUUUACUAAGAGUGGAGAUGUUGGUAUCUUAGUGGCGGACGGGUGAGUAACGCGUGGGUAACCUGCCUUACACUGGGGGAUAACACUUAGAAAUAGGUGCUAAUACCGCAUAACAGGGAAAGAUGCAUGUCUUUUCCUUAAAAACUCCGGUGGUGUAAGAUGGACCCGCGUCUGAUUAGCUUGUUGGCGGGGUAACGGCCCACCAAGGCGACGAUCAGUAGCCGGCCUGAGAGGGUGAACGGCCACAUUGGGACUGAGACACGGCCCAA
rnacentral:rRNA from 1 species